GAUAGAUAGAUAGAUAGAUAGAUAGAUAGAUAGAUAGAUAGAUAGAUAGAUAGAUUAUUAUAAACAACUUUACACUUUUGGUAAUCAUGCCACAUGACAUUUUACAACCUGGGCCAGCCUUGCUUUGUCAUAAAAGUGCCAGAUUAUAAGAUAUUUGAGAGACUUGCUGACUUGUUAUGGCCAUGUACCAUAGUAUCCUAUCCUUUUUCAAAAGAACCACUAAACUAGAUGAAGACCUGCUUGGCUAGGCUGGGAAACCAGUUUAAACCAGCGAAUACCAUCUUAAAUUAGCUAAAAACCAGCAAACGAGGAUUUACACAAGCUCCAGUCUGGAUCCAGAACACCUGAGAAGAGAUGAUGCUGACCCUCAGAGGACCUCAGAUAAUGCUAACCUUGAAUCAACAAACAAAACUAACAAUUAUUGCUACAUGAGAGCUGAGUGGGCUGCAGGGUGGAGCUCAGGGAGCUGCAGGGGCUGAUGGGACUGCAGGCUGUGGACGUCUGUUUGGACUCUGGACUUUUGGGUGGGGAGAGCAGGACAGUUGGAGAGAGAGCAAGAUUGGCCUUAAAGAGAGAAG